rnacentral:rRNA from 1 species
CCUACGGGCGGCAGCAGUAAGGAAUAUUGCUCAAUGGGCGAAACCCUGAACCAGCAACGCCGCGUGCAGGAUGAAGGUUCUCGGAUUUUAAAACUCUUUUUAUAGAGAAGUAAAUGGCGGUAUCUAACGAACAAGCCCCGGCUAACUCCGUGCCAGCAGCCGCGGUAAUACGGAGGGAGUAAGCGUUAUUCGGAAUCACUGGGCGUAAAGAGAGCGUAGGCGGGAUAGCAAGUCAGAUGUGAACUCCUAUGGCUUAACCAUAGAACUGCAGGUGAAACUGUUAUUCUGGAGUAUGGGGGAGGUAGGUGGAAUUCGUGGUGUAGGGGUGAAAUGCGUAGAGAUGAAGAGGAAUCCUGAUUGCGAAGGCGGCCUGCUGGAGCGGAACUGACGCUGAUGCGCGAAAGCGUGGGGAGCAAACAGGAUUAGAUACCCUGGUAGUC